AAUGUAUUGCGUUUUCUCUAUCGGUUUAUUUAUUUAUUUUUGUUCUUGUGAUUUUUCGGUUUCAAUUAAAAAUGUGUAAUAAAUAAUUGCAAGAAUUGAAAGCAAAAGGUGCUAUGGUGAGGGUGGAGGUUGUGCGGGUUGGCGGCGGUGAUGGUGUUUGCGGUCUACUGCAGGAGCAGCCUCCUCAACCCUCAGUUAAUCCUCUUACCCCCAGAUGGACCGCCGUUGUUUCGUCUGAUGCUCCAGUGUUAAGCCACCAUUCCAGAAUCGACGCCCAAGCCCGCCCACACCGCCCACACCACUUCCAAUUCACACAAACCUCACGCCCACGACUGCCACCACACGCGCCAUACCCUCCUCCUCAGUGGUUGUGGUGAACGGGUGGGAAGCAGGAGGCCCAUGUGAGGACUGUGGGGGGCAGAGGGGUGGAGGCGGCGCGGGAGGCUGCAACUGCUGUCAGGGGGGGCGCCGUGCCCCCUCCUCCUCCUCGGGAGACGCCCCACCACCCCUCAACGGGCACCUCCAACCACCCCCGACGUCUCAGCUCAUCAAGGUGGCCUUGCUAGGGGCUGCCGGGGUCGGCAAGACGGCCAUAAUUAAGGUAAUU